rnacentral:rRNA from 1 species
UACGAAGGGGGGCUAGCGUUGUUCGGAAUUACUGGGCGUAAAGCGCGCGUAGGCGGACGUUUUAAGUCAGGGGUGAAAUGCCGGGGCUCAACCUCGGAACUGCCUUUGAUACUGGACGUCUGGGAGUUCGGGAGAGGUGGAGUGGAAUUCCGAGUGUAGAGGUGAAAUUCGUAGAUAUUCGCAAGAACACCAGUGGCGAAGGCGGCUCACUGCCCGAUAGCUGACCACUGAGGCACGAAAGCGUGGGGGAGCAAACAGG